rnacentral:tRNA from 4 species
UCCCUCUUAGUUCAGUUGGUAGAACGGCGGACUGUUAAUCCGUAUGUCACUGGUUCAAGUCCAGUAGAGGGAGCCA